UCCGGUUUAUCACCGGCAGUCUCCUUAAAGUCCCCGACUUGACUCGCUGGUAACUAAGGACAAGGGUUGCGCUCGUUACGGGACUUAACCCAACAUCUCACGACACGAGCUGACGACAGCCAUGCAGCACCUGUGUUACGGCUCCCUUUCGGGCACGCCCACAUCUCUGCGGGCUUCCGUACAAGUCAAGGGUAGGUAAGGUUUUUCGCGUUGCAUCGAAUUAAUCCACAUAAUCCACCGCUUGUGCGGGUCCCCGUCAAUUCCUUUGAGUUUUAACCUUGCGGCCGUACUCCCCAGGCGGUCAACUUCACGCGUUAGCUUCGUUACCAAGGAAUAACUUCCCGACAACUAGUACCCAUCGUUUAAGGCGUGGACUAC
rnacentral:misc_RNA from 1 species